CGCGAAUGGCUCAUUAUAACAGCUAUAAUUUACUUGAUCUUGACACAAUCCUACUUGGAUAACUGUGGUAAUUCUAGAGCUAAUACAUGCAUUAAAGCUCUGACCUCACGGGAAGAGUGCAUUUAUUAGAACAAAACCAAGCGGCUUCGGCUGUUUCUGGUUGACUCAUAGUAACUGAGCUGAUCGCACGGUCUUGCACCGGCGACGUGUCUUUCAAGUAUCUGCCGUAUCAACUUUCGAUGGUAGUGUAUCUGACUACCAUGGUGAUCACGCGUAACGGAGAAUAAGGGUUCGGCUCCGGAGAGUUCGCCUGAGAAAUCGCGAACACAUCUAAGGAAGGCAGCAGGCGCGAAAAUUACCCACUCUCAGCACGAGGAGGUAGUGACGAAAAAUAACGAGACCGUUCUCUUAUGAGGCCGGUCAUCGGAAUGGGUACAAUUUGAACCCUUUAACGAGUAUCUAUGAGAGGGCAAGUCUGGUGCCAGCAGCCGCGGUAAUUCCAGCU
rnacentral:rRNA from 1 species